rnacentral:rRNA from 1 species
GACGAACGCUGGCGGCGUGCCUAACACAUGCAAGUUGAGCGACGAACCAGGGCUUGCCCUGGGGCAAAGCAGCGAACGGGUGAGUAACACGUGGGUAACCUACCCCGAUAACCGGGACAACCCGAGGAAACUCGGGCUAAUACCGGAUGUGCUCACUGGACUUCGGUUCAGUGCGUAAAGGAAGCUUCGGCCUCCGUAUCGGGAGGGGCCCGCGGCCCAUUAGUUUGUUGGUGAGGUAACGGCUCACCAAGACCGCGAUGGGUAGCUGGUCUGAGAGGACGUUCAGCCACACUGGGACUGAGACACGGCCCAGACUCCUACGGGAGGCAGCAGUGGGGAAUCUUGCGCAAUGCGCGAAAGCGUGACGCAGCAACGCCGCGUGGGGGAAGAAGGCCUUCGGGUUGUAAACCCCUUUCAGGAGGGACGAAGGUUCGGCGGUGAAUAGCCGUCCGGACUGACGGUACCUCCACAAGAAGCCCCGGCUAACUACGUG